rnacentral:ncRNA from 1 species
UCUUAUUAAGAGUGGUGGAGGGACUGGCCCUAUGAAGCCCAGCAACCUACUUUAAAGUGUGGUGCUAAAUCCUACAGAGAAAUCUGAAAAAUAAGA